rnacentral:misc_RNA from 1 species
CAGUAAUCUAUUGAUUAAAAAUUUGUCGAAGCCAGCUAAAGACAUGAUUGUAUAGCAGCGUAGAAUUGAUCCUCUUCACACCUCCCCUAAAAAUAAAUUGAAAAGAAGAAAGACAAAUGAAGAAAGAAUACUCGAAAAUGACUUCCAGCAUACAAGCCGACAAGUCACAGAAUAAACAAUUCCACAUUUCAAAUAGGUAAUAGGAAGAUGUUGGAACCUUUUUGAAAUCUAAUUCUCUUAAUGCAACACUAAAAACAGAUACCGGCUUCCAGAUAUACACUAUUACCUGUAUUCCUACAUACAGCACAAGAGAGUUGAUCAAUGGUACAUUGUAACAGGCAGCAGCCCCCACUGCAUCAAUUCUGUGGCAGCACUAAUAACUAGACCUGGCCAUGGGUUGGUUUCAGGCCAGAACUGUUGGUUCAGCCAGCUUGAUGGUUCAGACUGGUUCCAAUUCAAAAUUAUUUUGGUUCAAAGAGUUUUCGAUCCGGUUCACGGUUCGGCCUAGUUCUAAUGUGAAAAAUUAAAG